rnacentral:rRNA from 1 species
UACGGAGGGUGCAAGCGUUAAUCGGAAUUACUGGGCGUAAAGCGCGCGUAGGCGGCUGGAUAAGUCGAUUGUGAAAUCCCCGGGCUCAACCUGGGAACUGCAUUUGUGACUGCAUCGCUGGAGUGCGGCAGAGGGGGAUGGAAUUCCGCGUGUAGCAGUGAAAUGCGUAGAUAUGCGGAGGAACACCGAUGGCGAAGGCAAUCCCCUGGGCCUGCACUGACGCUCAUGCACGAAAGCGUGGGGAGCAAACAGG